rnacentral:lncRNA from 1 species
GGGGAAAGUUCCUUCAACUUCAGAGUCUGCAACUCACUUAGCCCCAGGUGGAAUCCCUGAGGGCCUGUCUGCAUCGCGCUGAGAUCUUGUCUGCCGGAGUUACCACCUUCAAAGAGCAGCUUGGUACAAAUUUGUUUCUGGGGAAAAAAGACAUUCGAAUGUGCCUCGGCUUCAUAGGGAAGUUUCAGAAACGCCGUGUGAAGCUUGUGCUGAGCUGGCAGGACAGACGGUGACAGACUGAGGGAACUGGAAGUGAAUGGCAAAAUGUCCAUUAAACAGAAGUGAAAGUAGGAUCCAGUUCCAGGCUUUAAAAUGGAAAUGGCUGAGGUUUUUCUGGGUUAAUGACAACUUCUGUCUCCAAUGCGACUGCCACGAAAGGAAAGAGGUUCCUUUUGCAGUGUCUCAAGGAAGCCCUGCUCUGCGAACCUGGAGUCAGCGUAGCUCUGUUUCACUGUCGCUUCUGACUGCUGAGGGGGACUUCCAGGUCUUCUUCUGCCUGUUGGGAAGAGAGCUGCUGAAAAACAUCUCCUUCUCAGGGUCUUUCACUGAACGACCCCCCCUCCUCCCCACCCCCUGCAUCACAGCCCUGAUCUAG